CCUGCACUGAUGGGGUCCCUCGGCCUGGCCUGUACCCUCUCGCAAUCCAGGACCCCUCGGGAAAGGCCAGAUUACCAGUUUCGGCCUGAUCCCCGCAGGCCAGGCUGAGGGACCCCACCGGUGCACA
rnacentral:pre_miRNA from 1 species